ACGUACAAGCAGUGGGAGCAUGAGUUUACUCAUGUGACUGCGUACCUUUUGUAUAAUGGGUCAGCGACUUAUAUUCUGUAGCAAGGUUAACCGUAUAGGGGAGCCGUAGGGAAACCGAGUCUUAACCGGGCGUUAAGUUGCAGGGUAUAGACCCGAAACCCGGUGAUCUAGCCAUGGGCAGGUUGAAGGUUGGGUAACACUAACUGGAGGACCGAACCGACUAAUGUUGAAAAAUUAGCGGAUGACCUGUGGCUGGGGGUGAAAGGCCAAUCAAACCGGGAGAUAGCUGGUUCUCCCCGAAAGCUAUUUAGGUAGCGCCUCGUGAACUCAUCUCCGGGGGUAGAGCA
rnacentral:rRNA from 14 species